AUUCCGUAGGUGAACCUGCGGAAGGAUCAUUACAGAGUUCAUGCCCUCACGGGUAGAUCUCCCACCCUUGAGUAUUAUACCUUAGUUGCUUUGGCAGGCCGUGGAAACACCAUGGGCUCCGGCUUAUGCGUGCCUGCCAGAGGAAACAAACUCUGUUUUUAGUGAUGUCUGAGUACUAUAUAAUAGUUAAAACUUUCAACAACGGAUCUCUUGGUUCU
rnacentral:misc_RNA from 1 species